CUAGGCAUUGAUAGUUCAUCUCCUUCUUCAUGAACUUGGGACAUACUGAAAUAUAUAUAUAUAUAUACGUAUGUAAUUGUGAGUUUCAUUAUAGAGGGUGUAAAAUGUUGUUUAGUGCCAAAGUGGCAAAAUAAUUAAUUAAACUUGUGGCAGGUGAGUCCCUAUUAAAUGGCAAGUGGCUAGUAGGAUUUAACUAUGGUUGGCGCGUGGGGUUGAUCUGCUGUACAUGUUUUACAAGUGGAGAUUUUAUCGUUAAUUGAGGGUUAUGACGGAUGACGCCCUAGCUAUGCAACAUACGAGGCUUCUAGCUAUGAUUUGGCCCGUGGGGGUUUAAUACCUCUUACAUUGAGGAUGGAAG